UUUCUUUGCUUAAAUUAAAGUGCUUCUAAAGCAAUAAAGCGAAAAAUAAGCUCUCGUCGGAGAGAUAAUAUUUCAUUCAGAUUAUUAAGCAAAUAAAUCUCAAGAGUACAUUAGGUAACUAUUUAAUCUUGCUAAAGCGAUAUAAUUUUGACAAUCAAGUUACUUUGUCGAAAAUUUAGCAUAUAGUGUUCUAUUUGCACAAUUA
rnacentral:lncRNA from 1 species